rnacentral:rRNA from 1 species
GACGAACGCUGGCGGCGUGCCUAAUACAUGCAAGUAGAACGCUGAAGGAGGAGCUUGCUUCUCUGGAUGAGUUGCGAACGGGUGAGUAACGCGUAGGUAACCUGCCUGGUAGCGGGGGACAACUAUUGGAAACGAUAGCUAAUACCGCAUAAUAGUAGAUGUUGCAUGACAUUUGCUUAAAAGGUGCAAUUGCAUCACCACCAGAUGGACCUGCGUUGUAUUAGCUAGUUGGUGAGGUAACGGCUCACCAAGGCGACGAUACAUAGCCGACCUGAGAGGGUGAUCGGCCACACUGGGACUGAGACACGGCCCAGACUCCUACGGGAGGCAGCAGUAGGGAAUCUUCGGCAAUGGACGGAAGUCUGACCGAGCAACGCCGCGUGAGUGAAGAAGGUUUUCGGAUCGUAAAGCUCUGUUGUAAGAGAAGAACGAGUGUGAGAGUGGAAAGUUCACACUGUGACGGUAUCUUACCAGAAAGGACGG